UUAGUCAAUUGUCAGGGUUAUGCAGGCGGACUCAAGUGCAAGACUCCUCCAGGCAGAAUUAAGAAAAACACACUUUAUUUUACGACAAAAACUCACCAACAGACAGGACUACAACAGGGUGAACAGAGAGACAAUCCGACAAGGAACAGAGAAACAGGAGGGUAGAAAUACACAUACCAAAUAACAGAAAGACCGGACUGGAAGAAACCAACGAGACAAUAACAGGGAACAGGUGAGGAAACAGAAACGGAGGGAAAACUAACAAGACAGGAAGCACAGACCAAAUAAGGAGAUGGGGCGGAGACAAAGACAGGUAACAGGCAAGUAGACACAAAGCACAUGACAGAAAACAAUACACAGAAUGGCCACCAGGGUGGCACAAUGUCACCAGUCCAGGCCAGAUCCUGACAUCAAUUGAGUUUGCGAAGAUGGACCCCCAAAAGGUGGCUCAAUUGGUAGAUAUUUUGGAGAAAAACAAAUUUCCUGUUGAAUGCUCCAAAGUGAGACGCGCAACUUUAAAAAGAAGAGCAGGGAGCUAUGUUAUGAAGGAUGGAUAUCUGCAUUAUAUAUGCAGACGCCGGAAAGGCAUUGAGCACCUUGCAAAGGUGGUAACAUGUCCAAAGGAGGCAGAAGAAGUCUAUCAUGACUUCCAUGCAAGUAAUAAGGGGCUCAUGGUGGUAUGGAGAGGACCCACACUGCCAUAAUCAGCCGUUUCUACUGGCCUGGCAUGGAGCGCGACAUCUGGAAAUGGGUUUCUGAGUGCCCAGAGUGCCAGGCCAGGCAGAAUACUCUAAAAGAGAAAAAGGCCUAUAUUCCCCUCGAAGUAAGUUACAUUUAACUUAUACAACGUUGCCCAAACAAUGGAUUUGUCAACUUGGAUUUGUGCACUUGUUCGUAACAAUUGUUUUCUGUUUUUUGAGUUUUGAGUUGGUGGGCAUGGAUUUGGUGGGAAAACUGAAGCCCACUAAAAGUGGCCUCAGGUAUAUGUGUGUAAUGGUGGACAACUUCAAGUGGGCCCAGGUGUACCCACUCACAUCGAAAAGUGUGAGGGAAGUGACUGCCUGCAUUUUGGAUUGGUUUUUAUACCUUUGGAGCACCCAAAAGGCUCCUAACGGAUCGGGGGAGGGAAUUUGUCAAUAAGAUCAACUUUUCACUGUGUGAGAAGCUUGACAUACACAGAAGCUUCUGUUCCCCACACCACCCCAGAUGAAUGGUCUGGUGGAAAGGAUGAAUGGGGCUAUACAGAGUAGUGAUGAGCUCUCACAAAGCUGGUGGGCAACUUGUUAACUAAUUUGAUAUGAGCAUAUGGAAUGGUGCUAAAACUUUUUUUUACCAGAUCUACUUCAUUGGUGUCCUGAUAUAGGCCAACAUAAUUAUCAGCCAAUCAAUCAGAAGCUAAUAUUUAUGGUCUCUGUCGAUAAUCAUUACCUUGUUUAAAACAAAGUUGUGUAACAUUGUUCCAACUUACAAGGUUGCAAAGCUACACAUACUGUAAUGUAUAAGAAAAGACACUGAAUGUUUUGUAUUUGGUAGGCUACUGGUUUACAGUGUUCACCAUGUGCCUUCUGAAUAGUCACUUCUGUAAACGCUGAAUCCUGAGCCUAAUGUUUUUUUUUUUUUUUUUUUUCGUCCUCCAUUUGUGGUGCUAGUGAAUGACCAUGUAUUUA